CUGGAUUUUAUUCAAACAUCUAACUUCCAUGCAAGGCUGAUCUCUAUAGCAAGAGUUCAAAGAAGUAUCUUUGAGGAUUAUUGAUUUAUUUUUUCCUUGUCACAUGGUUAUAAAAUAAACAAUUGCAAACCAAGUGAGGCAAGGGUCAAAACUAAGACCUUCAGUUUGAUUUCCAAGCUAGGGGUGUUUUUCAUUGAUGUUAUUCAAAACAAACCAGCUUUUCCAGCUUUAGAGGACUCUGAAGGAGGGAUCAGACAGGGAAACACUACAUGACCCAAGCUAGAGGAACAAGCCAGAUUUAUCAAGCAUCAGCAAAACCCUACUCUUAAGUUCCGUCACUUUGUUUUAAAUGCCAGUGUGAGCUACAGUUGGAAGUUUGAUUUGGAGGUAAUGAACAAGCAAGCUAGUCUAAUAAAGUGGCAAAAAAGGAUUACUAGCAGAGAACUGUUGCUGCCGCCUUUAGGGCUCCUGCAGGACUAGGAUCUUCAAACGUUAAGCUCCUCCCGCCUUCCGAAGUUAGCAAACUUCCUUCCCCGCAUUUCUUAAAGAGAGUGCUCCUCUGCCUUGCCGGUUCCUGCAGUGCUUUACCGAGUUCCUAAUCUUCCCUUUUGGAAGUGAAAAUGUCUGCAAAGAUUGGAGGAGGUUUCGGGAGGGAAGCUUCUCAGCAGAUCCUGGCUGGAGGUUCAGCGGUGGAUCAUGGCCAGGUAUGAAGAGUAAUGGAUCUCAUUUUUGGUGAGAAAGCCUUGUAUUCCAUAUUUCC
rnacentral:lncRNA from 1 species